UACGUAGGGGUCUAGCGUUGUCCGGAAUCAUUGGGCGUAAAGAGCUCGUAGGCGGUUCGGCAAGUCGGAUGUGAAAUCUCCACGCUCAACGUGGAGGGGGCCAUUCGAAAACUGCCGUGACUCAGUCCGGUAGGGGAGUGCGGAAUUUCCGGUGUAGCGGUGAAAAUGCGUAGAUAUCGGAAAGGAACACCAGUGGCGAAA
rnacentral:rRNA from 1 species